UAACUUACCUGGACAGGGUUGAUGGGUGAUCAAGAAGGCCCAUGGCCCGGGUUAGCGACCUCCAUUGCACUCAGGAGGGGCGCUCGCUUAUGGUCAGCCAAUAGCUGCUGCUUUGGUGCUUACAAUCAUUUUUCGUGUUCAGAUGAUCAUCUCUGUGAUACCAGA